CUGCUUCCUUCAGAGGUCAUUACAGAAUAUCGUGAAAGGGUGGGAUUUCUUAAAGAAAAUCGCUUCCAAACAUUCUCUCCAAUAAGAUGAUUUAUCCCAUACUCUUGUAGAGUAGCCACAUCUUCUGUAUAGACUGUCUGAAGGAAUUAUGGAGACAAAAAGGUUCCUCGGGAAUGUCCCGUUUGCAGUAGAAGAUCCUCAAAGGCGGAACUCACAACUCCAUUGAAGCCCUGUACCAUCAUUCUAAGGUGCUGUGAAAGUUGAAGGUCUUUAAAGAAGUAAAACUAACCUGUGAUGAAACAUAAAUUAAGCUACAGGCCCAGGACACAGAGGCAGAUUGAGAAGGAGUUUGAGAAGCUUCACCAGUUACUUUGAGAGGACAAGGCAGCCAGACAGCCCUACUCUGAAGAAGGAAGAGAAGAACAGUGAGAUGAUUGAGGAGAUGAGCGGAGGGAUAUCAUCACUUUCAGACACAGAGCCGUAGAGAAGGAGCUGAAAGCAGAAGACGUCUCAUUCCUGCAUAACUAUAAGGCCACAGUGAAAAGGUAAGUGAUCUGCCUCUUGUCUCUCUUCUCUGUGGUUCUUAACAAAGUUAUGCCAACCCCACAGUACAACUGAUGGUGCACACUGCCGAAUCCAGAGAAGGUUUCAGAACCACUGAUCCAUGUGGCCAAGCAUCUUGGCAACCUGCAUAGAUCCUGUGUGAAGAUGCAGGAAAUUGUUAGAGGUUUUUCAAUAUACUUCUGUGACUCUGAACCCCAAGACUGCUCACCCAAGUCUCAUCCUGUCUAAGGAUUUGACCAGUGUGAGAUUCGGUGUGGCUCAAAAGCUUCCUGACAUCACAGAGAGGUUUGAUCGUGCAUUUGUCCUGGAUUGUGAGGGCUUUAACUCAGGGACACACUUCUGGGAUGUUGAGGUUGGGGAAAACGCAUGGGCUCUGGGUGUGAUCACAGAAUCUGCACAGCGUAUACGCAGUGGAUUAUAAUUCUGAAGGUGAAUAGUCAGCAGAAUCCCCACCAAAGCCAACCAUUCCCCUCACAGUGAGACAGACACCCCAGAGGAUCAGAGUGAAGCUGGACUGGGACAGAGGAGAGCUGUCAUUCUCUGAUCCUAAGAAUAAAACACAACUACACACAAUCACACAAACUUUUAAUGAGACAGUCUUUCCUUGCUUUUGUAACUUCUCUAAACGGAAGCCUCUAAAGAUCGUGCCAUGACAAUGGAAAAAUAGUUAGAGCUGAUAGUUUCUUACUAUACAAUGUUGAAUCAACCACCUAGCUACUGCUUGAAAACAAGUUAAGAUAUUAUAGUGACUUGAUCGAUUUGAACGUAACAUUCAAAAACACCUAGUACUCUGCCCUAUACCUUAAAGACAUAGUCAUUGAACACUAGUCACUUUAAUUAUGCUUACCUACUGUUUUACCCACUUCAUAUGUAUAUACUGUAUUCUAGUUAAGGCUCAUCCUAUAUAACUACUGCUGUACACACCUUUUCUAUUCAUAUACUGACUAUACAUACCAUUAUUUUUUAUAUAUAUGUAUUCCGGACUCUGAUAUUGCUUAAUUUUUUGGGGGGCGGGAUUUGUGUUUAUUGCUAGGUAUUACUGCACUGUUGGAGCUAGAAACAUAAGCAUUUCGCUGCACCUGCGAUAACAUCUGCAAAAUAUGUGUAUGCCACCAAUAACAUUUGAUUUAGUCUAAGCUUAGUGGAGUAUAAACCUGUUAUGUAUUUUUCGUAGAUAUGUUUGAUUUGUUAAUCAUUAGCUCUUAUUGUCUUAAGAAUACAGUUAUGUACAUGACUACUGAUCAAUUACAUAUAAAUACAAAGCCAUACUGUAACUGUCAUUCCUUAUUCUAUGAUUAAAGCAAAUACAUGCUAUUGUUUUUUGUUUCUAUCUGUAAGUGUGGAACAGCUUACAUGUAGCACAGUAAAAGCUGAUCAUGUCUUACCAUAAUGUUACACCAAA